GAUUGACUGAUACAAUUACUAGAUUUCUUCUAUGCACAGCUUAGCCACACGUAAUGGAUAACUCAGGAAGAAUGUGCUAAUAGUUCAAAAUAUUUUUGUUCCAGCAAUCAAACCUGGAGCCCCUAUCACAAAACUUUUGUUUCCGCUAACCGAUCCGCAUGCCGUCAUUCAACUGGAGGAUUUUGUUCGGAUAGACCCUAACAUGAGACGAAAAUAUAUAAAAUUUCUGCGCCGCAUCAAAACACCACGACAAAGCCUUGAAGAUACGUUUGGUAAAAUCUGCACCGAUCAAGCCAUCUUCCGUCACUUUAACUGGACGUCCAACAAGUCCUCCCAAUCUAUGACGCAGCGAGAAUCACUGCAGCAUUAUUGGAUAUUCACAGAUUGUUUGUUUGAGGCUUGGAGCAGUCACGGAUUUACCAUGGAAACGUUGAAAUCAAAAAUGGCAAGCGUUAUCAAACGCAUCUAUGUUCGCAACAACGUGCGCAAUUUUCGAGCUAGGUCUAAGAUUGUAGAGCUUUGAAGAUUCCUCGGAUAUGAAUAAAUGUAGAAAAACGAUAUUUCCACUUUUGAAACUAAUUCUGAGACUUAUCAUUAAUCAUUCUAGAAAGUAACUUUUUGCUUAAUUUCAUGGUAUGGAAUCAGCUGAUCCGCCCCAGAGAAUUUCACAUCUUGGAGUUACAUCGCUCUCCACCGCUGGGAUCAACUUUCCUAUACGAUCGGAACAAGCAAUAGAGGAGCUCGAAGCGUCCGUUCGAUGUAACAAAAAAUCCAGGAAGCAAUAUAUUAGGUUCCUACGCUCGAAACUGACCGAUGAUCAAACCGUUUUCACCGUGUUUCAACACAUCUUUACCUACCAAUCUCUGGUCGGAUACUGCUGGACGAAGCGUUCCAACUUGGAAAGAAAAUCCAUGAGAGAUUAUGAAAUCUUCACUAGUUGCAUGUUGGAUGCCUGGCUGUGCAAGGGUGUAACGGAGGAAUCUCUAGCCGAGCACAUCCGUCACGUGAUCAGAAACGUAAAUAUUUCAAAACGGAAGUUGAAAAUUCGACUAAGGAAACGAUAUUCUAGUACUUCAUUUAGUAAUUGAACCAGUACUGUUUAUUUGGAAGUGUUGGAGAAGCCAAACAAUAAAUGAUCCUUUCAAAAUAAUUUCCAACGAAGAGAUUGUCAUUGAUAUGCUUUUCAAAAUCUAGCACUACGUUUAAACCAACAAUUUCGAUUUCUUUUGUAUAUCCUCUAGCCAAAAAUAUCGCCAAGUUGCGGAAUCGGUUGCAAAGUCUCAACAAAAUGAUCAGCAUGGCGUCGAGUCGAAACGAAAAGAUGCAACUGGAGGUUCAAAUCUGUGACGUCAACAAGGAACUGCAGGAGUUACUUAAAACUGCCGAGCAGCAGAAGCAGCGUGCCACCGCUCAUGUUGAUGGUUUCCAUUUUCCGUUGAGUUCCAUGGUCGAAAUCGAACGAUUGGAGGAAGCCGUUCGGAAGGAUUUCGAUGUGAGGAAGCAAUAUGUACGCUACCUGUCGCUCAAGAAGCCCCUGACAAUGGGCGUAACUAACUUUUUCUCGUAUCUCUUCACCGACGAUGCUCUGAUGGGCUACAACUACUCCGGAACCAACAACAUUGGCGACUCAAAGAUGCCGAUGAGGAACUAUGAAAUUUUCAUCGAUUGUAUGAUAGAAGCAUGGGCUGAUCAUGGAUUGACGCACUUACUGCUCGAGGAGAAGAUCAAACUUGUGGUGAGAAAACUUACCGCUCGACGUCGCAUGCAGAAGUUUCGGCUGAGAAAAUCAAUGAAAGUUUGAAGCUUGUUGAAUAAACAUGAAAUGUUCAAAAAUCUUUGUAUAUUGUGUUAAUGAAUUUAAAUUAAUAACUAAUGAAUGGUAAUGACAACAAUUUCCCACUAUGGAUUUCAGAUCCCCUAAAACCACGAAAAAAGGUAUUCACGAGGACGGUAGAACUGGAUGAGUGUGCAGCCGCAGAUGACGAACAGCGCUACAUGUUCAUCGUGAGUCGAAAGGGAGGUAUUCUGUUGGUGCACGAAAACCACAUAUAUCGAUCCAAUAUGCGACGUCAGGGUCCCCACAAGAACAUACUGUACUGGGAGUGUGUACACAAUCGUUCGCAGAAGUGCCGUGGUCGACUCAAGAGCGAAGGGAAUUACCUGUUUAUUUCGAACACCAAUGCCACGCACAAUCAUCCUUCAGAUUUGAAUCGAAUCAACCGAGCUAAAGUCGGAGGAGAGCUGACAUACCGCACAUUAUUUUCACUUUUCAAAUGACAUGUUUCGUUGUUGAUAUGUAACUGUUUUCAAUUAAAUUUCAAUAUAUAAUGUCGAUGAAUCUAGUACUAUACCAUCCAUACUAAUUUUCGAUAUUGUUGACACGUUUUCGUCGUUUUAUUCUAGUACCACACAUGCUCGUCAUUCACCGUUGGAAAAAUCGUUCAACUAUGAUGAAAGCGGAACCAACUAAUUCAAUCAACGUCUUGUAACUAUACUUCCAGUUCAGGAAACGUCCCCGACAUUCGAUGCGCCACAGUAUGCCAUUAGCAAGUGUGGAACCGUUCAGCUUCGGCACAAUGGUCAUCUUUUCAAUCGACACGUCAAACGAGACGAUAUCACAUACUGGCGCUGCUCGCAGUUUACCGUGUACAAGUGUCGCGCCCGGAUUAAGUCCGUACUCGAAGAGUUUUUCAUGUUGAACGUGGAACAUAACCACCAGGUAGUGGCCUCACCCAGAGCGUACGGAUCUUUGAAGCGACUGAAACAACAACUUGCAAGAGAUUAAUAAAAUACACACGUCUUUGGAAAUCAAUCUAGUACUUCGCUUUAUUAAAUUUAGGAAUUCUCGUACACAAAGUUUUGCAUUGAUCUAAUGAUUCUAAUCCACAUUUCAGAUGUCUAUGUCCGGUACGUUUCCGGAUUUCGAGGAAGUCGCAAGCUAAAGGUAGGAGAGUUCAGCUAUACCAAAAGCAAGGAAAGUGCAAACAAAACGUACUGGUCUUGUGCGAGGGCAGGCAUGAGCAAAUGUAAAGCACGGGUUUUAACCAACACACUGAGAAACGGGGAAGAGAACUUGGUGGUUCGAUUUCCAAUACACAAUCAUGAACCAUUCUAGUACUGCAAUCUUAUAUGAUACUCUGUAAAUAAAACAUUAAUAAGUUGGUGGAGACUGUGGUGGACUUUUUCUCUAUGCCCUAUAUUUGCAUUACGUUGAAGCAUAACUAAUCAGUUAAUUUGGAUUCCAUUUUAGUGUUUAAAAUUGUUAACAUUGAAGAAGUGGAAGAUGAUCAACCCAAGGAAAUAUACUUCACCGUCGGGCAACGUGGUUGCGUUUUGCUGCACGUUGAUGGCUACAAAUUCGUGAAGAAUCGUAAGGGGGCAUACAAAACCUAUUGGAUCUGCGCUAAAAAGGGAAGUACAGCCUGCAAAGCUAGAGUGAUCACCCCGGCAAACAGUGAGGAGAAAAAGGUUCCCACGUUGAUAGCUCGCAGCGGAACACAUAAUCACCCUGUAUUCGUUGAGCGAAAAUCCCGCAGUUCUGCUACACAUAGGAUUUUACUUUUCGAAGACCCAUAGUUAAAUAAAUCUAUCUCAACUGAAACUUUGUGUUUCGUGCAAUCGUUUUGAAUCCUGAAGAGUGUCGUUUUUGCAUGAGUUUUGGGUUAAUGGAUUUCUAUUUUCCUUUAUAGAUGACAACGACGUUGACCAGAUUUACUUCAUUGAGGAGAUUAUCGGUUCUGCAGAGGGAAUGAAAACAGUAAAAGUACCUGCAAAGAAGAAAUGUAGAUCCAAAUCCGCAACGAUGCCUUCGGCAAACAACGAAAUGUUCAAUUUUGAAAGCGAUGGUUCACCUUCGAAGCCCACCUACACAACCGGCCGGGGGAAUAACGUUCUGAAUUACCAGGGCCACCGCUACAUCAAGAACAAUGCGCACAGCGGGAAAAUUUACUGGAAGUGUACCAAAUGGCACACUGGGUGCAAAGGACGUGCCAUUACCAACGUGCUGAUUCCGGGCUUGGUUGUUCUGAAGAAUACACACAACCACGAAUCAUUGUAAUUUCAUCAACGGCGGUUUUUGAUUUGAGGCCAAAUAAAAAUGAACAGAAUUGAUCGACCUUCCUCAUAUUUUCCAACCGUGAUUUUUAAGUAAUAUUUGUUUAGUUAUCUUGAGUUCAUAAGAUUCCGCAAUACCAAUGGUUGAGAAGUUUCUUUGUGAACUUUAAUGUUUCUUGAGAACCUAUUGUUGAAAUUUAUGAAAAAAUCGCCGUAAACUUCAAACACAGUUUCAAUGAUCUUGUAAUUUAAUCUUGUACCGACUUUUCGAACCCUUUAAGCAGAAUACCCUUUUCGAAUGAGUGUUAUCAGUUUCGUACCUUCUAAUUCCGCCCUAUGUUGCUUAUCCUUUGACAGAUACGCGUAUUUCGACUAACACUUGUAAUCUUCCUCAGUGUCAGUUAUGUCAGAGUGGAUAACUGUAUCUGUCAAAGGAUAAGCAACAUAGGGCGGAAUUAAAAGGUACUCCAACUGAUUACACUCAUUCGAAGUUGUAAUUUAAUGUUUAAAACUAGUACUACGUGAAACGGUGAUGAAUCGCCAUGUAGCAAAAAAAAAAUCACCCCUGUAAAAUAGUAAUAAUUUGCGCUGCAAUCGUUUUAUGAGUUUCCAUUUCACGUAGUCUCUAAUGUUUAUUAAAUCUAGUACUACAUCGAAUAAUGCAUUAACUCUUAUACAGUUUAGCGCCCUUUCAUACCAACUUUAUGCACUAGUUCCAAUCGCAACCACUUCUUGCAUCGCCCAAUUUUUGCCGUGAAACAUCCAGUCAAAGCGAUUGCUGUGGUAGUACUACAAAUGCAAGCUUUGUUGUGACCGACGAAAUCAAUCCAUCACCAUGAGAAGUCAUCGGGCAUCGUCGGAGGCAGUAGUAGUAGUAGUAAUUAACUGGCCCACGGUACCACGACAGAUGAAAUCCUUCCUUAACAAUACCUUCCUCAGAAGAAGCAGCAGCCCAUUGGCUGUCGCAGGAUUCUUCGAACAAUCUGUACAGUCUAGAUCAUGACCAAACAAGAGAAAAUAAAACCGUUAUUUUGAGCUGUUGUUGUUCGUUAAAAUUUGUACUACAUGAAUACUCUAGUACUUCACAGUAAUUCCUACAAAGCAUGACGUUUUAUCAUUUUCCACAGAAUCCUUCGCCAGGAGGAAGAUUUAUGAACGGUUUAUGCUUCCGAAAGCCGGAAUGGAAGUGGCCCUGUUCGGGAUCAGCCAACGAGGAGCGAAGAAACUGAUCUGCCAUGGAUACGAGUACGUCAAGGAUCGAGACUUUCCGGAUUCGACCAAUUGGCGCUGUGCUUUGUUCCGCCGGCAGAAGUGCCGCGCUCGUGCCAUAACCAAAAUCAUAGACGGUAUCACCUACGUAAGGCUUACGAACGAUGCCCACAGCCACGAUGUCCGGAUGUACCGGAGGCAUCCAGUGAUUAUUACGAAAGCGGACGAAAUGGAGUCUGCAUAAGAAAGAAAGUAGUUUCUUUGUUGAAUUAUUGUGAGAAAAAUAUACGUACAUCAGAAUGGGUUCAUUGUCCUGUUUAAGCUAUGUUUCCUUUAGUGGUUCCAAUGACAUACUAGAUCAUUACUGCACUAAUACAAACUAUUCGCUUUUUUAGGUGUUUUCGAACCGGCUGUAUUCGGAACUACUCGUCGUGGUCAACAGAAACUAAUACACAAUGGGCAUGCGUACACCAAGGAUCGACAGUCGGCGAAGACUUGCAACUGGAAAUGUUCCCUCUUUACGCGGUACAAGUGUAAGGCACGUGCCGUUACGAGGGACAUCAAUGGCGUGGUGUACGUGAAAGUCACCAACACGUUACACUACCACCCGGUGGAGCAGUACAAGAUCAACUACCGAAGGCUGGCCGUCAACCCUAUGAGUUUGGCGAACACUUUUAUCCCGCAUGUCAAGGAUGAGUCGUUUUGAGAUGUGCAGGUAUCGGUUAUAAGUAAGAGUAGAGUUUCUCGUCGCAAAUAAAUUAUGUGUUUAAGUGUUAUUCUAGUACUUCAGUAGAUAUAUUCACCCUGGUGAAACACUCUGUAAGAUUACCUCCGAUGACCAAUUUUUAUUUACUAGGAGCAGAAAUGAUUCUAUUUCAGUUCUAGUACGUCAUUUUCAUUUACUAAACUAUUCUGUACUUUUAGAUGACAAAGCUGUUUUCACCGAGCGAGCCCUGUACGAGUACACCUCCCGAGGAACGCAGCGCUUGCUUCAUGGCGGAUAUUAGGGGUAGGCGGGGCAUAAUGAGCAGGUGGGGCAUAAUGAGCACCUUGUAUUUUCACUGUAAAUCUUCAAAUUAACAAAUUAAGUUGCUUGAUUGUAGCCUUAUUAUCUAAAAUCCAAUGAGUUGAUGACAAAACAUUAGUCAAAAACUCCGUUUACCUUGAAAUAUUAAUCAAAAUGCGUAAAGUGGCCAUAUACUGGGAAAAUAUUAUAAGAAUCAGGUGACCUAAAAUAAGGUUUUGGGUAUCGAAAUCACAACUUAGUGGGCAUCUAUCGAUUUUCUUGAUAUUCCCUAGGCCAAUGAAAUGUAUUUGUAACACUUUUGAACUAUUUGUUUAAUUAUUUUGUUAAAAAAAUAUGCUUCAAAGAGUUGGUAGUAGAGUGGGGCAGAAUGAGCAACUGGUGAAAAAAAUAAUGAAAAUGGUAAACAUCUUCAACAAACAAAUUUUAAUUUUGGUUUUCUCUGUUUUGAUGCAUAUAGUAAGGUUUUGUCUGUAACUUUCAAUUUAUUAGCUUUAAAAUCUCAGUAUCUGUAUAUUAUCACCGUUUAAAAAAUCCUCAAUAGAAGACUCAUUGGAACCUCACAGUUCCCUACAAAUUAAACCCCGUAAUCCCUUUAAAUUCUCAUUGAUGGUUGCCGGUAUGCUUUAUCAUUGACAAGAAUAGUCAAUUAGCAUUUGAUUGUGUACAAAACUGAUAUUGAUCAUACUGCCCCACCCAGGGUGCUCAUUAUGCCCCACCCCCAAAACGCAACUCGCGAUUUUAUACGUUUUUAAAAACAUAAAAUUUUACAACAUUUAUAACUUUAUUCGGAAUUUCAACGAUUAGCUUUUGUCAGUUAAGGUUCAAAUGAGGAUUGAACGAUAAAAUUGGUAAAUUGGUAAAUUGGUUGCACUUAAUUUACUGGAUUUGGUGGCAAAAUGCUUAAGCUGCUCAUUAUGCCCCGCCUACCCCUACUUUAGCAAAAACAAAACCAACGAAUCGAGCGGACGGGUGAACUGGAAGUGCCAAUUUUACCAACGGCUGCGCUGCAAAGCAAGGGCCAUCACGAAAAACAUCAACGGAUACGAAUACGUGCGCGUCACUCACGAAGAGCACACCCAUCGCCAGGAUCUCACCGAGAAUGAGUUCCGUCGGCCCAAACGGAAAAAAGAUUUCUGAAUUAAGAAGUUUGGGAAAGUAACGGCGACACAAUCAUUUGAUGUAGAAUUGCAUGCCAAUGAGUUUUAAUAAAAACUUAUUUAUUCUUCAUUGUAUGAAAUUACGCUCCGUAAUGGUUUUGUUCUAGUACCUCGUUUUUAGUAACAGCCUAAUAGUUUAGAACGACCUCAUCAAAUUAUUAUUUUCUUGUUCACUGUGGAGUAACUUAAGCUAUUAGCAAUUUAAAUUUAUUUUCAGGCUCUUUCAGCUUGGAAAAAAAGAAAUUCUCCGAAGCGAUUGUGUAAAUCUAGUACUCCAAUAGAAAAAAAACCUUAUAACGGUCGAAAGAACCCAUUUGCUCAAAAGAAGAUGACAUUCUAAUCCAUAUUUUAUCAUAUUUACAAAGCUCUAACCUAUUCAUAAUUUUUCAUCCAACUUAUCCCAAACAGUUAAGCUGAAAAUUGUUCAAUAUUCGACACGCAAAUCGGACGAGCACUACGACAAUGAUGAUGAAGACGACGGAGAGGAUGACGAAGCGAAGACCCAAUUCCCGUUGGACCUGAAGAUGGUGGUAGGCCGCAAGGGACGCCCAAUGCUGCUGAUGGGUGGCCACGCCUUUUUCCGCAACAACACCCACAAAAGCAAAACCUACUGGCUGUGUGCCAAGAGCCGUUCGCUGAAGUGUCGCGCCCGAAUCAUCACCCUGGACGGCAGCGCCGGACUGAUCCUCAAGAAUCAGAUUCAUAAUCAUCCAGCGGCGUUGGAAAGGUCCUAGGCGAGGAUAAGAGUUAUCGAGUUCGUGCUGUGACAUAACGUCACGGUACUUGAACAAAAUUUUGGUUUUCUCUACAUAAUACGUUGUGUAGGCCAGUGUUGGAAAUACUCACUUGUAAGAGUGAUAAUCACUUGCUUCUAUCUCAGUCCAGAAGCAUACUUUCAAAAAAUAAUGUUCGAAGGGCUUUUAGAUUGUAGUUUAAUCUAAAAGUGUGCUGAAUAAAGUAAAGGUCGCAGACGCAUAACAAAAUUGUGAGAGAGCUGUGAGUACGAGGUGAGUUAAAUUCGUGUAAUUUAUACUCACCUUGUGCUCACAGCUCUCUCACGAUUUUGGUAUGCGUCUACGAGCUUUACUUUAUUCGGUAAACUUUUAAAUUAAACUACAAUCUUCCCUUCAAACAUCAUUUUUUGAUAGCAUGCUUCUAGAAUGAGAUAGAACCAAGUGAGUAUAACUUUUCGCAUGUGAGUAUUCGCAACACUAGUGUAGGCAUUAUUUUCAGCAAUUGAGCGUAUUGUAAUUUGAAUUCUGUGCAAAUAAAAUGCCCGAAAUUGAGUUGAUCUAGUACUUUAAUUACUGAAUGGGCAAUGAAAGGUAAAUAACUUGCAAAACUUCUUUUUCUUUUGAAAUAAAGGUUCUGUUUUUGAUUGCACCAAUCGUGUUUUAGUUUAUCUCACUCUAGUACUGCUAGAAAAUCUACUAACAUGCUGCAUUCUUUUUUCAGUAUCUACAGUUAUCGAAUACGUUACGGAGGAAAAAGUCCAAAAUAGAAAACCGAUCAAGCCCACUCGCUCCAAGCGGACCAAACCCAAGCACAACGUAAACGAGAUUAUAAACAGUACCCAAGGAGUCCCCGUGGUGUACCAGAACACACGUUUUGGAGCGGCUCAGGUACUCUUGGAGGACAUGGCAUACUCGUUCACCUACACGAAGAACCAAAUAAGCCACUACAGAUGCAGCCGAUACAGGAGCCAACAGUGCCCGGCCGAGGUAGUUGUCAACAACAAGCUGGUCUACUAUCUCUGUGCUGCCCAUAAUCACGAUUUGGCUACCGGUCAGCAAUUGGAUGGUAUCUGUAGGUCGUAUCUAGCUAGAGAUGCGACGUAAGUUUUGAUUGGAUGUGGUUGCAUUGUACAAGAAUGGAUAAAAUUAUGCACAGCAUUCCUAGAUGGCCAGUAAAGUAUGCGUUGACCUGAUUCUUUCGGGGCCGGAGAAGUCACUCUCCGAUAUCAUCUAGGGAUGGUUGGCUAUGUCUCGUAGAAUCGCCUAAUUAUGUCCAAAUUCAUGUCAUACUUCUUAAAUAAUUUCAUUGGCAUUUCUAUAUAAGAUUGCAAUACUUACAGAAUUCAUAACAUGAUUAUUUACAUAGCUAUGUGAAGUACUAGAUUAAGGAAGAAUACAAAAUCAAAUACAAUAUUCCUACACUAUCAAGAAAGUUUUGUUUAUGAUUUAGUUAAACAGUAUUGAACUGACAAUUCAUCAGCGAGAACUGUCACUCUAACGCAACAAUCUUUCCAGAGGACCGUGAAAUCACCUUCAUUGUGGGAAGACUCGGCAACAUGCAGUUGAUCAUCGACGGCCACCUGUACACCCGGUCUCAAAUCAGGGAACGCAUCAUCAUUUGGCACUGCUCUCGGCAAAGAUCUGGAUGCAAAAGUCGGAUCAGCACCCUGCGAGGCGAACCGGGAACGGCCUACUCCUUUCGUGAGGACCACAAUCACGAGAGCAAAUUUGACUUUAAGAAUAGGGACAUUAAAGUUCUCAAGGUGGCCAAACUUCUGAUUGUUGGCAAAAACCGUUAGAUUGCGUUGUUUUUAAUUUCAGACUAAACAAUAAAAUAGAAAUUAGUUUUUCGUAACUUUAGUCUUGAUUCUGUUGGAUACUGUUUUAAAUGAAAUUUCUUGGAAAAAAUAGAAAAAUUAUAAAUUUCACUAACCCAUAAAAAUGUUCUUUGCAGAUAAUAAAUCUGAUGAAAGUAAUAUCUACGUCGUGUGCACCGCCGAAGGGGAGUACAAGAUUCAGGAGAAACCUGCAGCUAGAGCUAGACAAACAAAAGAGACCAAAGCUCUAUUUAAGGCUUCGUCACCGAUGCGGGUUGUUUGCAUCCUAGGCGGAUUCACAUUUCCAAUCUCCGAUGGCGAUGAAGUGGAACGAUUGGAAAAAACCAUUUCGGAACGGGCCGACAUUCGCGAGGAAUAUGUGAAAUUGUUGAAGCGCAAAUCGAAACAUAUAAAACUAUUCCAAUUUAUGCCGUCAGUUUUAUCGGAUGAAGCUCUGGAAGGAUAUAACUUCAAUGGAGCAAACGUGCUUGGUAGGCGCAAGAUCGCCAUGAAAGGUUACAAUAUUUUCAGCAGUUGUUUCAUGGAUGCCUACGAAUCGGAAGGGCUAACCAUGGAAGAACUGGCCAACCAAAUAACCACGGCCAUCAAGCAGACUCGUAACAGAAUGCGUCAGCGUACCUUCCGGGUGAAGAGAUCUAUCGAGAAGAUGUUGAAGGAAAAAUCGGAACACUAGCUGGUUGUGUUCGUCCUAGAGUAAACUGGAAAUUUCACCGAUAACCCGUAGGGACUAUUGUAGGAAAGAAUUAGUGCAGUACUCGAUUAGAUUCAUACGUGACCGGUUAUGAUUUUUGUGCUUGCUGUUUGAUUGGAACAAAUCAACUUGAUAUUUCUCAUGCAAACAAUAUAAAAACAAUCAUGAUUCUUGUACAUAUUGGUUAUUUAAAAAUUCGGUUAUUACAAAUAAAGUUAUUAAUUUUAUCAAAUAAAUAAAUAAGUUAAAGAUAUUGCUAGUAGGAUACAGAGAAAAACAAACAACUAAAUGACAAUAAUAUCUGAAUUAAGUUGUAGAACACAGCGAGACGGCAUAGCUUUAUUUUCAAUCUAGUACCUCAUUUAUGCAACAUCGAACCACUUCAAACUGUUUUCUCUAUUUAAUAGAAAUAGUCGUGGAGGACAUAAAGCUGGAAAGCAUUCCCAUCCAAGUGGAUUCUACACUUUCAACCACCGGUAAUGCAGUACUAGAACAACUAGCAGAAACUCACAAAAAUGAGGAUAUAAAGUUGCAUAAAGUAGACCCACGUGUACAUGAAGAUGCGGCCUGCAAACGACUUCAUAUGCAGCUAGAAAUCAACCAAAAAGAGCGACGACCUCCGAGUAGAAAGCAUUCCAAAUCAGUUCGCGUGGCUGGAUUUGAAUUUCCUCUGACAUGUGAAGAAGAUGUCGACCGGUUGGAACUGAUGGUCAAACGGAAUCCUAUCAUCAGAAAUCAAUAUAUCAAAUAUCUGGCAGCCAAUAAACUACCAAACAUGGAGAUUGCUCACAUCCUUUACCGAUUUUUCAACGACGAAGCCCUCUCGAAUUUCAACUGGACUGGCCAGGAACGGUACGACUCUAGUGCUUCGUGUAAAAAGAAAGCCAUGCAAAAUUUCGACAUUUUCAAUUCAUGUAUGCUAGAAGCGUGGUCCAGCCAUGGUGUUACGCAGGAUGCUUUGGCUGGUUCGUUGAAGAAAGCUGUGCAGCUGGUUGCUCGACGACGGUACAAUCUCAUCUACAAUCAGCGGAAACGACUUCAAGCGCUGGAUCCCGAACACUGACGUUUUCCAGUGCAGGUCGUGGAAUAACACAGCUUCAUACACCGUUAUCAUUUAACUAAAAUUUUCUUCUAAUCUAGUACCUCUGCUGAGUUUUGCCUUCUAAAAUUUAGGUUGUAACUAGAAAAAUACAAUAUAUUUCUUUUUGAUAUAGUACUUCACACGUUUCAAUCGUUUUCAGUUGACAAACUCUUUAAAUUAAAUGGAACGAAAAUUUCUUUCAAUUUUAUACAACUAAGUUUUUCUGUUUUCUUUGCAGCAACAACUGGGAACAAAAUCGAAACGUCUACCACAUAUCCGAAAAUUGAAAUCAUCUCUCAAAUACGAUUGCAUCCUCCACAAGAAACUCCAACGAGUUCGCGACUGCACGGUUUACUGAGAAGAUCUAGCGCAGAAGGGGCAUCUGGAAAAGUCCCUUUGUACAGUGGCAGCGACAUCUACAUAGCAUUGGAGGACCUGGUAAAAAUCUAUUCUUCCAACCCGGCUCUCUAUACUGCCCGACUGAUGGACAUAAUAUUCGGUAGAGAGAUACUGAAUAAUGCAUGCAUUGAACCAGCGGGGAAUGAAGACGAUUUUGAACAACUGGAUUCACAUAAACUGCGAUCUAUGAUUGGUAAGAACGUUUCUCGAUCUGUCGGGUAGUAGCAGAUCGGUGUUCAAUCAACACAUUUUUUUUGUUUACAGUGCAUGUGAUUAAUGUUUUCAAAAUUCAAAACAUUGAAAUAUCAGAGUCGACUGUAUUGGAAUACGUACGUCAUCGGCUAUGCUUCCUAAAACAAAUGAAAAAGGAAAAAGUUAUUCAAGAGCAGUGUGCAAUCGAAUGUAGUACUAGUACUUCGUCAGUUUAAAUUUCUGGUGCGGUAUUUGAAAAAAAAACACAUGAUUCGAUUUGUAUGGUUACAAUACAAAUCGCUGAACCUUUGGAACUUAUCUACUAACAUUGUUCUUUUUUUUAUAGAUCAGCGUAAUCUGAAACAGGCAACAAUGGUUAUCAACGUUCCAUGGAAUCGAAUACACUAUUGAAUUGCUUAUUACCGUCAUUUUUUAAAGCAUUCGUUUUCGAGGAAAUAUAUGAAAUUUUAAAAAUCAACGAAUCUUAUAGUUCUUCACAUAAAUUGAGUCAGUUCUAUCAUUUGAUGUAUUCUAAAUAAACCGUUCUUGUAUUGUCACGUGUUUCCAGGCUCCCCUAAACUCCGUGCUGCCAAGUUCGGUUACACCCAGAAGGGCAGGGCGAUGCUGCUGUACAACGGGUAUGCCUACAUCAAAGACCGCCAGGCUCAGAAGAGCUGCAACUGGAAGUGCUCGUUGUUCGGAAAGCUGAAAUGCCGAGCCAGGGCCGUCACGAAGGAGGUUAACGGGCGGCAGAUGAUGAAAAUCACCAAACCCCUCCAUAACCACACUCGCGAUGUGUACUCGUUUGAUAAGUGUAAAAAAUCUAAAGAAUAAGUUUCUGGCAAAAAUGUCAGAUGUUCUAUCACAAUGAAACAUAAGCAAACUUUUUAUUGUAUCAGUAAUCAGCUUAGAAUUACGUUCCAAAAAUUAUCAUAAUAAUAAAAUGUACUCUUCUAUAAUUUAUGUACGCAUUCUACUACUUCAUGUCUUAAGACAUUGUUUCGAGUAUAUUUUUGGUGGUAUUCUAUGCCUUCCUUGUCCUCAUUAUCACUUAUUUUUUUCUCUCAGAGAUUGAAUGAUAUCGGGUCUUCGAUUAGUGAAGACAUUAGUGACAAUAUAGUACUAGAAUACUAAGUGCAGACAAACUGAAACCUAAUUGAUACGACACUAGUGAGUCACUAACAUUUUUAUCUGUAUCCCCAACAGGAAACGUAAUAUAUGUGCUAUCGAAGCGUGGCACCAAGCAUCUGUUUCACGAUGGAAACACCUACACUCCAAAUGAGCGACCCUACCCAGGGCAGCGGUCUCGAACGUGGAAAUGCUCGUUGUACUACCGGCUCAAGUGUCGCGCCCGCAUUGUCACCAGUGAAGCCCAUGGGCUACCCAAGCUGCGGGUAGUGGUUGCAGAACAUACCCACUCGAAAGUGUUCCCCAAUUUAACGCAUAAAUUUCGCAGUUUGUUCUAGUGGGUUGAAUGAACGGAAUGAUCUAGUCCGUUAUUCAAUGAUCUCAAUGCUUAAUGCUUACUAUAUAAAUAAAUUAACAUGCAUGUUUUACAAGCAUUUUUACAAUAAGAAAGAUGCAUGUUCUUCAUAAGUAUACGUUUUUGUUAUACUCCAGUACUUUAUGAUAUAUAGGUGUUCAACAGGUGCACUUGGUGGAGUACUAGAUUUGUAGUAAUGUGCUACAUAAUACCACGCUGUUUACACCAUUUCAUUACAGAAACGAAAAAUGUAUUAUCUUAUCAUACAAACAUCGAGCUCCUCAUAACAAAUCUAGUACUCCACUUUUACUGUAAUUUGCAGUCAACACUUUGUAUGUACAUUAUUACUUCCGCAUACCGUGUUUGCAUUAUGUAUCAUGAGACGCUAGAUACUGGAUACUGUCACUUUCUGAAUAUCACAGUUAUUUGGUUGAUUUGUCAUAUUUUUCAAUAGGAGGCAAUCAGUGAAGUACUAGAUUGAAAGUAGUGAGCUGGAUUUUUGUAUGGUGAGAUGAUCGAUUCUCCAUUUCUGCAAUGAAAUGGUGCAAACAGCGUGGGUUAUAUGAUUUCUUGCCUAAUUUGAUGCUGUUUGAGCAAAAGUUUGGGUAACUGUGUUGUUUAAGUUGCAAGAAAUAAAUAAUACAACAACACAGUUAUCCAAACUUUUGCUCAACCAGCAUCAAAUUAGGCAAGAAAUCAUAUAACCCACGCUGUUUGCACCAUUUCAUUGCAGAAAUGGAGAAUCCAUCAUCUCACCAUACAAAAAUUCAGCUCACUACUUUCAAUCUAGUACUUCACUGAUUGCCUCCUAUUAGUUGUUUUUGCUACUUUGUAUCAGUAAAAGUAUCAUGAUUUAACGACUAAUUUAUAUCAUUGCAGACAUUGUUUUCAUAGUGAAUAACGUGGGUGGCCUUCAGCUAUGUCCCUUCAUCCGAUCAAGAACAACCGACGAAGUUCAGUAUUGGACGUGUAACCAAAGAAAACGGCUAAGCUGUCCGGUUCGUGCCUCCGUACGUCGUUGAGAGAAAGGACAAAAACCACUGGUCAAGCUGAGUGGAUGUCACAACCAUCUGAUCAUCACGGAGCGCCAGAAAUAUGGAGAAAGUUCCAUGUUAAUGCAAACAAUGGCGCGUGGUCGCCAAGUUGUGGCAGAGAAAAGGAAACGUGCCUCGUCAAAGAAAAGGCGAGAAGUACCAAAGGAAUAGUUUUCUUGAAAUCUAAAGAAUAAAUAUUUAAGACAAGCUUCGUCAAAGCGUUCAAGUACUACAUUGAUUUGUUUCGACCUUUGUGAUUUGAUUUUAGACGACGUAAUUUUAAAUGAGUUGUUCAUAACAGGACACACAGAUAAAAAUCUGAUACAAUUCUUCAAUUUGUAUAAACAUACUUGUUAGGUACAAAUCGUCGUGACUAGUUUAUCAACAAAUUUUAUAGUUGUCUCAAUAUGCAACUUAUUUUUUUAAUAUCUCCUCAGUGAAACGAAGAUAUGCCGGAGCACAGAUCGAGUACCGAGGCAGAGACGUGACGUUUUCGCCGAGCUGCCGCGGUAUGCCAAAAAUGACUCUGGAAGGGUACGUCUACAUUCGGAACGCUGGCAAUGCUACCAAAACGUACUGGCUUUGCGAGCGUGGAAAGCGAUUCAAGUGUCGCGCCCGUGCGAUAACGUACCGAGGCACAGGGCGCAUCACCAUCAACGAGCAUUCCCACAAUCACAUGCCGGGAUUUUAGGACAAAAACUCGGAUUAGUGGAAUAAAUUCAAUGAUAAAUUAUACUCUGUUUUGCCAUGCAUAAAUUUUGUAGUACUAGAUCAUUGUCGUUCAUUUGUCACUGUCAUCCUGUUUCAGAUACCUGAACUGAUAGUGAUCUUGUUCAUUCCAGAUACCUCGCAUCCAACCCUCAACAGACUUCUGUUCAUCAAAGGACAACGUGGCCCGAAACUGAUCUUCGAUGGAUAUUCUUUCAACAGAAACAAAGGCCACGGUCAAGCCACCUACUGGCGUUGUACGAAACAUCAAUCGCUCGGCUGCAAAGCCAAAUUGGUUACCACAAAUCUUGGCAAAAAGAUUUCCAUCGGUACUCCGGUUCACUGUCACAUGGCUGAUUAUGGUCAAUUGAUCUGAAUAUCGGAAGAAAUAAAACAGGCUGGGAAGGGUUCGGACGAUAUUUGAAACAGUAAUUGAAAUGUUGUACUAGAUUCUUGGAACUGACCUUUGAUAAUGUGUUUUCCAUGCUUUUGCGGUUCCUGCGGUUUCAGCCGUUAUGUAAUGCUUUGUAGAUCACUAUAGUAACUGUACUACAGCCUUGAUUAAGUGUCAAUUUUGGUGUAUUUUUGCGAAAUUAUAUGUCAGAUGUUUUCAUCUAGUACUGCGUUUAAGUUUUCUUCAAAGAUGCAGAGCUUUGCGAUCAAUUUUUGCGUUGUGUUAUUUGUGUAUCAUGCCCGCUUAACAAAACAAAAAAUGUUCAUUUCAGAUCCACUGAAUCCUGCUCACAACAGGCUGCUGUUUAUAGUGGGACAGCGCGGUCGAAAGUUGGUAUUUGACGGAUUUUCUUUUCACAUAGACAGACACCGAAACGAGUUCAUCUAUUGGCGUUGCUCAAAGCAUUCUUCGGUUGGUUGCAGGGCAAGAUUGAAAACCACAAAUAAAGGUAAAAAAGUAUCCAUCGGUACGCCGGUGCAUUGUCACGCUCCCGAUAUUGGCUCACUGAUUUGAAACACGUGAGAGGCCAUAAAAACUGAUUAUUUGAGCUUUGGGCUCAAGAGUGAAUUUGGAAUAAAAACUUCUAUGGACUGAGAGACAAUAAAAAAUACAAGGCUACACCGCUAAAUGACAGACACAGUAAUACAAUCUUAAGAAAUUAAUACUAAUGAUUGAAGAAAAACUAGUACUACAGUGGCUUGUUGAGACCUUUGGGAAAAUGUCACAUUGGAAGCCUUUAAGUCAUUUGAGAAAAUUGUCCUAGGAUGGAACUGUCUAGAACAUCAGGGUUAUGGGAUAUUCGAAAAAAAAAACAAACUAGUACUGAAAAACUUUUCCUUGAGGUUCUACUGAUUAUGAGUAGUGCAAAUGUAUUUUGGCAUUUAUUUCUAGUUGUACUUCUAGUACCAACAGCUUUGAAAAAAAAAGGAAUUCUUAGUAUUUUUUUCGUAAUGCUAGAAAUGAUUGAACUGUAAAGUUUGAAUCAUGCAUACCAAUUUUGUUUGCAACGUGCCUAUGAACAUUUUGAAGUACUAGAUUGAACAUUUUAACUUGCGGAUACAUUAGCUUUGCUCAUCCGUAGUAUAACCUACGUGUGAAUUCACUAUUAUCACUUGAUUAUCCUUGUUACUGGACGCUCUAGUACUUCAAUGUGGAUAUUGAAUGUGUAUUGAUACUGAGAUUUCGGUGGAUUCGAUAGAACAUUUGUGGGAGUCUGAAUUAGAGGUGUAUUUUAGUACUGGAUUAUAUUCAAUUAAUAUUAUCUGCAAAAGAUACCAAGUUUUUAUACGCUGCCAAUAUAUUUGAGAAACUGUGGAUGACAAAUAGUGUUUCGUGAAAUUAGACAUGACAUUCUCCGAAAUCGUGUUUCUAUAACAAACAAUAAAGUGAUAUUUUACAAGUUUUUAUGUUUUGUGUUCAUUUUCACGAAUAAGCAAGUUGUGCAAUGAUCUAACAUCUCUUCUUAUCGUUAUUUCAGAUUUCAAACAAUACUUCAGCGAACUGACACCAACUGCGACAAAGAAGCCCACUACCAUAACCCUGGACAACCAAGAGUUGGAUUUCGUGCCCGGUCAACGUGGUACCAGUUUGCUCCGGAUCAACAACUAUUGCUACGCCAGAAAUAACAAAUCACAAAACUCGACCUACUGGGUGUGUCGUACCAGAGUGCAGCAUCGGCCGUGCAAUGCCCGAGUUGUUACCACGCUGAAAAGCAACGGACUUUAUCGGAUUUUGAUCACCAAUCCGGUGCACAUCCACGAGCCGAACAAAUCCAGUGCCUAUAGAUGUGUCGGGCAGGUCAGGAGGAGGCCCAAACUGGUGGCACCGAAGCCGGUGCUGGAGGAAAUUUUCACUUUCACGUUUCAUUCGGACUAGAACGUGAAUGAGUGAAAGUAAAAAAACUUUUAUUUUGUUUUGGUUUUGCAACAAAAAUAAAUAGUUUUUAAAUACAGAUACUGCCAAAAUGUCAUACCAUUCAGUACAGCCAGUACUAAUAUAAGGUGAUUCCUUACUGAUACUGAUGGAUUAUGCAGUACUAGAAUGAACUUACGUUUUCUAGCCGAAAUUCCUACGCUGUUUGCAAACUUUUGUACCCCUUAGACUGUCGUCGGUGGUUGCUUAACUGAGCUUAGUUGCAGUAGAAGAGUGAGGUGAGGCGAAUUACAAGUGUUAAAGCAACAGUCUCUGCUCGAUCUCACCACCUCAACUGGAUCAUGUUAAAAUAUACUUGUUUAGUCCGAUAAACAAUAAAAUAAAAACUACUCUGUUGACAGAAAUGAGUUUGAUUUGACUGCUUGGAGCAUGUGCGUUACCUUCUUGAUUAUUAAACUCAUGAAAUUAUUUUUAUCGUUCUAGAUUUCAGCCAGCUUGAACUUAAUUAUGAAAUCAACCAAAAGGGCUUUCGAAGGCUGUUCAUUGAUGGGCACAGCUUCAUUCGAAAAGAGGCGCGUAAGAACACAAUUCGUUGGCGGUGUAAACACUACAAUGAUGUACAUUACAAAUGUGCCGCCCGGGCUACGUCCAUUAAUGAGCCCAAUGGCAAACUUAUUUCCUACAAUGGCGAGCACAAUCAUGGAAUCAUAGGAAACGGACACAGACGAAGCGAUCGACAGCGAAUUGGAGCGGAACGAUGAGCUGAAUUUUCGGAUCAAUUGUUCAUCAAGUCAGAAUUAAUUAUUCCCCCGAAUAAAAGCUGUGUGCGAUACUGUGAAACUGUUGUUUGUGUUUGAUUUUGUGUCAAAGCAUCUGUCGUUGUUCUAGAAUGCUAAUUAUUUGCAUGUUUUUCAGCAAAACAUGACGUAGCCUAUGUGCAGACAAGUCGAGGUAUUCAACUUUCAAUUAAUGGUCAUUUGUUCAAACCAUGGAAAUCGGUAAACAACGUAGGAUUAUGGCAGUGUCUUCAGUUUUAUGAAUAUGACUGCCCGGUACAGGCUAGCACGGAACGAACCAAGGAUGGAAAACAAGCUCGCAUUUCAAUUCAAGGACAGCACAAUCACCCCGUUUUCAGAGAUCAUUCCAAGAACGUCCAAUGCGACCAGUUAUGAAAACCUACAGUAGAAAAAAACUCUAAUCCUCAAAAGGAAUAUCAAAUUGCUGCUAUUUGUGGUCAACAUUGUGAAGAAAAAAUAAAUUCCUAACUUUUCUACUCAAGUCUAGCUUUCUCAGUUUAAAAGUGGCAGCACUGAUUGACACGGUUCAAACCAUUCGCUUACUAAUACAACGAAUUUAAUUUCAGUUCUUGAUGUGGACCAUCCAACCGUCCAAUACAUUGCGACCAACAAAUCGCGUAGAUUGAUGGUAAAUGGCCACUCUUUCACUCGUAAAAAGCGAACCGACCGGUAUACAAUCUGGGAGUGUUGCCAAUCGAGACCACUAGGGUGCAAGGCUGCGGUCACAACCUAUCUGGAGAACACCGAUGCAGUUAACAUUCGUGGAUCGCACAAUCACGCCGUCGUAACGGAACGACGGAGAUUGGGCCAGCGAAAGCAGCUGAUGGAGGAACGUCAGCGAGAGAGAAUACGUAGGAAAACUAAAAUAGAGGAAGCGUCAGUUUAAUUCUUGAAGUAGUGCUUCCUAAUCUCGAAACUCUACACAAUAUGGCGUAUUUUUCAACGAACUGCUUAUUCGAAUUGAUGUACACUGAACAAAUAAACUAAAAUUCUGUAUGUCCUAUGUGAAGUUCUAGUACUUCAUUCGUUUAAACCACACGGUCUCUCAUUAUUCUUGUUUAUUUACAGAUGUAACUUUUAUUAUGCAAAAAAAAACUGCUCUUAUUUAGGGUUUAGGGAGUGUGCUUGAAACGACAGAUCAAUUCCUCAAAUUAUCAAAACCACUCAUACGACAUAUCUGAUUUUAUCACUGCAAAAUCAGUUUUUCGUUUCACUGAAUUCAUUUUUGCAGUAGUGAUCAGCGGUAAACUAAUCUGUGGCGAACUGUUUGUCUCAUUUACUCUGUUGUUUACGCAUGUCUUUGCACUCGGUAGCAGAAAACGGAACCGAACCUCAUGUCGAGUAUACGAUCAGUAGUCGUGGAACCCCGCUGCUAUUGCUCGACGGGUUUACCUUUACCAGAGAUAAGGAACGUAACAGUUUUACCUCGUGGAAAUGUGCCCAACAUCGUACGCACAGGUAUGGCUACGCAAAAGCUCACUCUAGUAUUUCAUGUGUUGACUAUUUACUCUUGUACCUCUUAUAGAUGCAAGGCUCGUGCCAACGCCGUCCGGGAUCGCAGUGGCCAAAAGAAAAUCGAUAUCAAACACUCGCACAAUCAUCCGCUCGUAACCGAGCGACGAAAGAAAAGUUCCUCCAGAUAAAUAAACGCGCUACUUCCAGUACCUCAGCCAUAGUGAACCAAACACUGAGUCUUUUUUAUUGUUUAUUUUGUUGGUUUAUUUUGUUUGGUUAAAACUUUGAAAACGUUUUACUCUGUUAGACGGGAACUUUUUCGUAUUUUUUUAUAUGCCAAAAUGUAGCUAUGUCCACGUACUAAUUCUGAAGUUCUAUGAACUUCAUAUGAAUCGGUGCUCAUUUAACGUUGUUGACAAUAUAUUCUAUUUAUUUGUAUUGUCACGGUCGCCAUGUACUUUGUUGGUCUCUUGUCUUUAAUAUUUUCCCAAAGCCAAGGGUAAUGCGAAAGUCAAACAAGGGAUUUUCAUACUAAACCUUGCAAUUAACAUUAUCUAGUCUACUACAUCAGUAGUCUUCAACAACUUUUGGACUCCAUGUACAAAACUUUUUCAAUUUCAAAAUUUUGUUUAAACUCUUGCCAUUCCACAGCCCAGAAAAAUAUAUUACUAACUAAAAUUUCCCAGAUUUUUGUGUAUCGAGGAUCAUUUAGUAAUCUUCUAGUAGUCUUCAAUGAUAUUUUUUUUCUUGUCAUUUUCGCUCACUUUGUACAUACAUGCCCGACAUAAUGUGCAUUAUUCAUACCAUAAGCUGUUCAUUUUCAGUCGAAAAGUGUUUCUCUAGUACCUCAAUAUAAAGCUUCUAAUCAUAUUAUACAAUUUUUCCUAGCACCAGUAACCUAUACGGUGAACGCUCGUGGCAAUCGACGAAUAUGUCACUUGGGAUACCUUUUCGAUGCGGAAAAACGUCGCCACAAAUCCACCAGCUGGCGAUGCUGCCAGGCAAAGAAGCUUCAGUGUAAGGCUCGGAUAGUCGAGCGAAUCUCAAAGUGGGGCGAGCCAUCAUAUGAAUUUGUGCGGUCUGUGCACAAUCAUGGUGUUGAUCACGCUGCUGGGAUUAAGCUUCAAACUUUAAGAAGCAAUGUUACCGAAGUUCAAUACGUGUUGAGCGCUCGUGGAGGCUUACAGCUAUGCAUCGAUGGCUUCCGCUACACUCGUGAUCGGAUUAAAGAUAACAAAAUUGUCUACCGUUGCGUGCACUACAAACCCUUAGGAUGCAAAGCACGUGCCCACACCGAUAAGGAUGACCCCAAGGUGAAGAUUAUCGAGAUGGAACACAACCAUCCACUGAAGAUGGACCGCCGAAAAAGUGGAGCCCUGAGACAGCUACUGGAGCAACGCAAACAGGAAAAUCGAGCGGCGGGUGGGCGUGCAAGUCGGAAAAAGUGAUGGCGAUCUGCUUUUCGGCGAUAAUCUAGUACUUCCUGCUGAUUGUAGGGACUUCAUUUGGUGUAUUCCAUUUGAAAGAGCUAAUGAAAUCGAUUGAAUACUAAGAUUUUAGACCUCUCGAAGCUUCUUCAUUCUAAUACUACAACUUGAUUAGCACAAAUCUGCUGAUAGUUUAUUUGUAAUCAUUUAGUCUUAGAGACGUCUUUAUGGUAGUUUAUUCUGGUUGAUGAAUAAAUCAAUAAAGCAACUAUGACUAAUAUGUUGAUGUAUGUCUAAGCUUCUGAGAUAAAACAUCUGUUAUUUUAGUAGAGUCACAUUGAGUCGUCCUGAAAUAACCACAUUUACAUUCAAACAAUUGUAGAACUGACCAUAUCGCCUGUCCCACGACCAGCAAGGACAAUUGCUACGAAGCUAUUCCGUGUUCAACAGAGAAAAUCGGCCAUUGUUGCUGCCGUCGAGGGGUUCGCCUUUCCGUUACAAUCAGAAGUGGAAGUGGACCGUUUGGAGAACACCGCUCGAAGAGAUCAGCUCAUUCGUGAUCAAUAUGUAGCGUUGUUGCAGGAAGUGAAACCUCACCAUCAGGAUCCAUCUAAUGUUUUUGCUGACCUGUUUUCCGACGAGGCACUUCUGGGAUACAACUAUUACGGGAAAACGAACCGAGCGAAGAAGAAGAAAGCCAUGCGGAAGUAUAUCAUAUUUACCGAUUGUAUGCUUGAUGCAUGGCUUUCGCAUGGGGUUACGGAAGAAAGUUUAAGAAUAUCUAUCGUUAAGGUCAUUGCCCGACUUAACCACAAAGUACGUAGCAGAGGAUAUCGAAGAAACCCUUCGAGCGUUACAACGCAGGAUGGUGCCGAAGUCGGGGAAGAACUUUAUUGAAAGAAGUGUGAAAAUUUUCCAGCGAUGCUAAGAACGUGCAAGUGUCAUACAUCUAAACCGAAGAAGCAAACUGAGCAAUGGUUCACUGUCGAUGCGUUCCAGUACGUAGAGAAUCGCAAGGGUAAUCUGAAUCUUUUCUACCAAGGCUACGAGUAUAUACGGAGACGCGUUGCCGACCAAGCAACCAUGUGGGAAUGUAACAAGAAGAGAACCUGCGGGGCACGAGCCGUAACCCGAAACGGCAAUCAAAUCAAGCUUAACAAGUUUCAACACAAUCAUCCGCAUUCGCGGCUGGCACGUGGUCCGGUUAUUGUACCCGCCGUUAAUCCGGUGCCGAUCAUGUACAAGGACGAGCCUCUGGAUUUGAAUGCUCUUGACGAGGCGAUUUCGUAGAGUGCUUAGUAACAGUUAUAUCUGUCAAAGCAUGCUGUAUUAUUAUAAUCUAGUACUUUCUAAAUUUGGGCUAACAACAAACAAAUAGUUACCAACAAACAAAUAAAUCAAACAUUCCGUCUGAAAUCUAGUACUUCAUUUCAACCAGUUCAUCAACCUUUGAGAACGUCACUAAUCAAUUUCAUGAUUUCCUUUCCAGAUUUCUACGUUCGGUACGUGACCGGUUUCAGGGGCAGUCGCAAAUUGAAAGUGGGCGAGUUCAGCUUUACCAAAAACAAGGAGUGUGCAAACAAAACGUACUGGUCCUGCGCCAGAGCCGGCAUGGACAAAUGCAAAGCACGGGUGUUGACCUAUACGCUGAAAAAUGGCGAAGAGAAUCUGGUGGUACGCUAUCCCACGCAUAAUCACGGACCGUUCUAGUGCUGCACUGUAUGAUAACAUUAGCCAAUGGAAGCAAGCAUUUAGAUUAUGGAAUCAAACUGAUUUAGCACAACAUAUUUGCUUGAAGGAUUCCUGUGGCUGGUAGAACGAUGAUUUCCAUUCUCGAUCAUGAACUAUUAUAUCCAAUCAAUGAUCUUUUUAGCGGAGUAUGAAAACUGGUAUAAUUAACCACACAUUAAGUUGAAAAAAAAAUAGAAAAUUCGAUAAAUGCAUUAAGUAAAUAACUAUCUUGUUACUAUUAUUGUUAAAAUAUUAUUAAGUUGACUCGCAUGAACAUUGUAAUCAUGAACUAGUACUGCAUGCUUAACAUUUUAUUGACAAAAGGUGUUAUUUCAUGAUUCAUGGAUCACGUGUGUAUGGAACUAUAUACUACAUAGUCGUGUGUGAUAAUCUAGUACUUCAUGAUAUGCUUUUUCGCUUCCAUCCCGUUACAGCCUCGCUGAGUACGAGUUUCAUGCAGCAAUUUCAACCUCAAACACUCCUCUCGUCGCCUCAGUUCACCUUUAAAACAUCCCAACGGAGCGGCCGUCAUCUGCUGGUAGUGAAUGGAGUAACAUUUUUCCGAAAUCGCCAUCGCAACAACAAGCAGUACUGGAAGUGCAACCAGUACUACAAGUGCAAGUGCCCGUGCAUUGUCGUGAUCGAUGAGAUCAACUCGCGCAUGAACGUGAAGCAUCUUCACAACCACGACACGACGUCGAGUGCCACCGGUGGUGGUGCUAGUAGGAGAAAUAGUCUUCUUCCACCCAUUUUGGAUCCAAGUAUCUCGGCCUUAACGGGAUCAUUUUUAAACGAUAGUCUUCUGGUUGGAAGUAGCAGUGCACUGGCUGCCGCUGCUUCAUUUGCCCAAACUGUGCAAUCUAGAGUGUUUAUGAAUAAAAGAUAAUAAAAUAUGAUUAUGACGGAAUGCGAAUUUUUCGUUACAGUUUACUCAAUCUAGUACUACACUCUGUGUGUUCACCUCAAACAAUGUGAGUAACACUCUCCUCUUUCCAGCAGUUCUCAACAAAAGACGCUCCAAAGUCUACGCAAAUAACCUGGAGCAGAAGAUGUCGGACAUGGAGGUAGCUCGGUUCGGGCUUAGUCAACGCAAAGCCAAGAAGCUGCUCUACCGGGGGUUCGAGUACGUCAAAGAUCGAGACUUCCCCGACUCGACCAAUUGGCGGUGUGCUUUGUUCCGGCGUCAGAAAUGCCGCGCUCGUGCGAUAACCACUGCCAUCGAAGGCGUUACCUACGUAAGACUGACCAACGACCAACACAAUCACGGUUUACAAAUGUAUCGCAAGGCUUCGCUGCUAAUGCCGAGGAAAGACAAUGAAUAGACGGGAGGACGUUCUGUUGAAUAAGAUUAGACAAAUUCUGUGAACCCCUCUAGUACUAACAAUAUCAUGCUGCAAUGGACAAAUAUAUUGUUUACUAAUCAUUUGAAUGUUUCAGUAACUACUGGAAUUUAAGCUAAGUUCAACAAUAAUUACACAUUGUAUAUUUCUUUGUUGCAGGUUGGAACACGAAUACACGGAGUGCUGCUAGCCACAAAAGGAAGAACAAGUCCAGAUUUGUAGUACCACAUACAAGAAUAUUGGACCCAUCCUACCAUACGGUCAGCUACAGUUCCAGUGAAACGGGUAAAGCCAUAGUCACCAUCGAUGGGUACAGGUUCCGCAGAUCUUCAGCACGGGGUUCGAAAAUUUACUGGAAAUGUUCCAGAGUCAAUACCAAAAAGUGCUCAGCCCGAAUUACCACUUGCGCCAAUAGUUCAAAAAUAUUCUACAGCUGUCGUCCUCACACUCAUCCGCCGAAUGUCUAGAAAUGAAUAAAGCACAGUGAUGAAGCUAACUGCCAUGCGAAGCGAGCACUUUGUACAACGAACUCUGUUCUUGAAGGUCAUUUCAAAUAUGUGUCUCGUAUGCUCGUGAAGGGUAACGACUUGCUAUUGACGAUGGUCGAAGGCCCGAAAAGUGUUGGAUAUGAGAAUGGAGAUGGUCUUGCAUGACGUACAGCGUUGCUGAUGACUACUGGCGACAUUAAGUUGUACUAACAUUUUUUUAUUUUUUAUUCAUCAUUGCAGGUUUCAAUCCAUGGACAUUGAAUUCUACAAAACGUGCAAGAGGUUCCAGAGUCAUAAAACGGCGCUCGAGAAUAUUGGAUCCGUCCUGUCAUACGAUCAGUCAUGGUUUCAGUCAAAUGGGCAAAGUCAUAAUCACCAUCGAUGGGUACAGCUUCGGGAGGUCUUUCUCCCAGGGAACGAGAAUCUACUGGAAAUGCACCAAAGUCGUAAUCGAAAAGUGUCCUGCCAGAAUUACCACGUGCGUCAAUAGUUCCAAUAUAAUCCAUGGUGUUCGACCUCAUAAUCAUCCGCCGUACGUUUAGGCAUGAAUCGCUAGAUGAUUUUAGAAAAUAAAGCGCAAUGACCAAGAUGUUUGCAGUGCAAAACGUGUAUUUCGAACAGCUGUCUCCUCUCAUCAAUCAUAUCUAAUAUUCAUUUAAUGUUUAUUUCCCUCAACAGCCGAAAUCUCAAGGAAGUACCAGAACCCUCCGGCGGAAUCAGAUAGCGAUAGCGAUGACGGUUUUUUUCGAUCAAAGUCCUUGCUAUCGCCGUUGGAUCUACGGAAGGUGAUGGGCCGCACGGGACGUCCAACGUUGCUGAUGGGUGGCCACGUUUUCACUCGCAAUAACACUCACAAAGAUAAAACCUACUGGUUGUGUUCGAAGAGUCGUUCGCUGAAGUGUCGCGCCCGGAUAAUUACCCUGGACGGUAGUGGAGGUCUGGUUCUCAAGAAUCAGAUCCAUAACCAUCCUGCGGGUGGGAAUCGCUAGCGCAGAUGUAAAAAUAAAGAAUAAACUUGAUUUUCUGUUUUUUUUUUCAUAUCAUUUAUACAUGCCGUACUAGAUUCUUCGAUUUCUCACUAACCACCGCCUAAUUCUCACCCCUUACAGGAAAAAUCGUCGUCAAGGAAAAGUCAACGGAAGAAAAAUUCUUCUUCGUCCGCACCGCCGAUGGUCGCUAUAAAAUUCAUGCAAAUGCCCCUUCAUCAAAAAUCGAGAAGGAAAAAGCACAUCCACAGCCGAAAAUGGUUAAUACUGGAACCAGACUGAUUCGAUCUGGAAUCAUCUUCCCCUAAACGAAGGAACGGAAGUGGAACAGUUGGAACAACUUGUGAAGAAGAAUUCUACAAUCAGACAGGAAUAUAUUAAUGUUCUGAAGCUUAAGCCUAGGGAUACCCAAAUUGUCCAUUACAUGCACAACGUUUUCACGGACGAUUCACUUAUUGACUACAUCUACAAUAAUGGCCAUGGCAAACGCGCCAUGCGAAUGUACGACAUAUUUUCCAAAUGCUUCAUGGAAGCGUACGAAGCGGAGGAACUUACAGAGUUCGAGCUUGCCUUCCAGCUGACGUCGGCGAUCAAGCAAAGCCGAAACCGGAUGCGGCAGCGCAUGUUUCGCGCUAGGAAAAUUGUGAAAGCAAGUUGUGAAAAGAGAAAGCGAACUCCAUUUGAAACUUGAUGAACUAGUGUGAACCCUAUUGAUUGACUGAUAAUCUUUUUUUUUUCUAACACCUAGCUUCUUUAUUGUAUUAUUGCUUCAUGCUCUUUUAGAAUCAAAUCCUGAAUUCAUGAACAUGGCUCCUUCAUAAUGAGUUAUAAUAUUUCACCCUGAAGGCUGGUUUAUUGUAUAUUAAAAAGCGCCUAUGAACUCUCAAUUUGAUACACUUGAUGCAAUGGAUUCAUCUUACCACUACGAUAACAUAAAGUGGGGCGGGGCAAGAUGGGUCACCUAAGGAUGGAUCACCAUAACUUUGUAAAUACAAAUCGUAUUGGUUUGUAUUCGUCCGCUUCUCUUUAAUACACUAGUUAGCUAUGCUAAGAAUCGAAUAAAAGUUCAAUAAAUACAAAAUAUGAUGUUAAACAAGCACUUUUAAAAAGUGAUCGAUUUUGCGUUGUGAAAAAAGUGCGGGGCAAGAUGGGUCACCUUUUAAGUAAUUCACAUUUUCUCAACGAAAAACGUUAAAAUAUAAGAUUUGUUCCGCAUUCAUAUAUGUUCCAUAUCUAUACUGAGUAAACAAGAGCUACUAGUAAACAUUUUAUAAAUUUAUUUGGUAGAUAAAAAACUUUACGAUUUGAGUGGUCCUAAGGCGACUUGAAAAUUGAUGUUUUCACUAAAAAAAUAUCAUAAUUUUAUGUUAUAACUUUGAGCGUUCAUUCCGCUUGAUUGAAGUCAUUUAUGAGAUAGUCUUGUAAUAAAAAAUAAAUAACUUUUGAAUGCUCCAAAAAUAUGUUCAAAAUUGAAGGUGACCCAUCUUGCCCCGCGGCUGUUUAUAUGGAGAUUAUAUGGAAUGUAUCGCAUAAGAAAAAUGGCUAAAAACCAUUUUAUUUUUUAUUUCCAAUGAGAGUGAAUAAUUUUUCAAUCAAUGCCCCAAUCUUUUGUAUAUUAAUGCUGGUCAUCUAACAAAAUUAUUACCAUAAACAAAAAAUGAGUAAUGCGCCCGAAAAUGACACUGACCCAUCUUGCCCCGCCCAACCCUACCUCAGAAAUAUAGAAGACAGGAUUCUUAAUUUUUGAACCUGCUACAUGAGAGCUACAUGGAAAAUCUUUUCUUUUCAAAUGUUCUUUGAGUAAAAAAAAAUAAUAAAAAAACAAUCAAAACACAAAAAAAUGUUAAAUUGUAUUCUUCAGCUAAGUCAAACUUGGCAUCACAAAUAUAAUUAUAACUGAAAACUAACCAUGACAACUGUAAUAACUCAUUGAAAUUUUUUCUAUAGCCGAACGGCGCUCGAGAAUAUUGGAUCCGUCCUGUCAUACGAUCAGUCACGGUUUCAGCCAAAUUGGUAAAGUCAUAAUCACCAUCGAUGGGUACAGCUUUGGGAGCUCUUUCUCUCAGGUUACGAGAAUCUACUGGAAAUGCACCAAAGUCGUAACCGAAAAGUGUCCUGCCAGAUUCACCACGUACGUCAAUAGUUCGAAUAUAAUCCAUGGUGUUCGACCACAAUCACCAGCCGUGCGUUUACGCAUGAAACGCUAGAUGAUUUUUAAUAAUAAAGCGCAAUGACUAGGAUAUUUGUAGUGCAAAAACCGAAAUCGCAAGGAAGUACCAGAACCCUCAUGCCGAAUCAGAUAGCGAUAGCAAUGACGGUUUUUAUCGAUCAAAAUCCCUCAUAUCUCCGUUGGAUCUGCGAGUGGUGAUGGGUGGCCACGUUUUCACUCGCAAUAACAUUCACAAAGAUAAAACUUAUUGGUUGUGCUCGAAGAGUUGCUCGCUUAAGUGCCGCGCCCGAAUAAUUACCCUGGACGGUAGUGGUGGUCUGGUUCUCAAGAAUCAGAUCCAUAAACAUCCUGAGGGUGGAAAUAGCUAGUGAAGAAGUGAAAAUAUAGAAUAAAAUUGACUUUUUGUUUGUUUUUAUUAUUUAUAAAUACCGUACUAGAUUCUUCGAUUUCUUACUAACCACCACCUUAUUCUCACCCGUUACAGGAGAUAUCAUCGCCAAGGAAAAGUCAACGGAAGAAAAUUUCUAUUUUGUCCGCACUGCCGACGGUCGCUAUAAAAUUCAGGCAAAUACCCCAUCAGCAAAGAUCAAGAUCAAGAAGGAAAAAGCACAUCCACAGCCAAAAAUGGUUAAUACUGGAACCAGACUGAUCCGAUCUGGAAUCAUCUUUCCCCUUAACGAAGGAACGGAAGUGGAACAGUUGGAACAACUUGUCAAAAAGGAUUCCACAAUCAGGCAGGAAUAUAUUGAUGUUCUGAAGCUCAAGCCUAGGGAUACCAAAAUCGUUCAUUACGUGCACAACGUUUUCGCGGACGAAUCACUCAUUGGCUACAAUUACAAUGGAGUUAACGUUGUUGGCCAAACAAAACGUGCCAUGCGAAUGUACGACAUAUUCUCCGACUGCUUCAUGGAAGCGUACGAAGCGGAAGGACUUACAGAUGUCGAGCUUGCCUUCCAGCUGACGUCCGCGAUCAAGCAAAGCCGAAACCGGAUGCGGCAGCGCAUGUUCCGCGCUAGGAAAAUUGUGAAAGCAAGUUGUGAAAAGAGAAAGGGAACUUCGUUUGAAACUUGAUGAGCUUUAGUGUACCCUAUUGACCCAAUUAUUAACAUUUUAGAGACUCUCAGUUUCUUAAUUGUUUUAGUGCUCUGAGCUUUUACGAUUAAUGAAUGGUAACAUGCUUACAUUUUUUUCAUCCUGAAGCAAGUUUAUUUUAUAUUCAAAUAAAUGAAUUGUAAUCACUCUUAAAUUGAUACACUUACUGUAAUGCAUAUUUCACCUUACCACUACGAUACCAUGCCUCAGAAGUACCUUAUUUGGUAGAAGUAAUGUUUUUUUUGUUAUCUGAAAAUAUUAAAAUCCACUUGCACACUUCCAAAUUCCAUUGAUCUUUUCAAAUAUCCUUCAAGUAAAACAUAAAAAUAAAAAAAAAACAAUUAAAACGAAAUAAACUGUUAGAUUGUAUUCUUCAGCUAAACAAACUGCAAAUUUACAACAAAAAAUCUACUUAUUUCUGGAUACUAACCAUGCCAACUCCUCCCCAUUCCAGAACAAGAGUUAGUGAUGAUAGAAAUCUGCUCCGAUGAAGCCACUCGGCAUGCCUCCGAUGAUGAGCAGAGCAAAGCUAUAGUUUCCACUGGAGGCAAUACUGCAAUAAGAUUACUUCGGUUAGCAGGAUUCACGUUUCCUCUGAAACGUGCAGAAGACAUCGAACGCUUGGAGAAAGCCGUCAGAGCAGAUCCGUUCAUUCGGAAAGAAUACAUUCGCUACGUGUCAUCUCGGGUGGGCGAUCAUCAUAAUAUUCCUACGCACAUCAGGAGGCUUUUCAGCGAUAGAUCUCUGGAGAAUUACACUUAUCAUGGGGUUAGCAAUCCGCAAUAUCCUCGGAAAGCAAUGAAAGACUACGAGAUCUUCACCAACUGUUUGCUAGUUGCUUGGGAGGACGAUGGCAUCACCGCGGAUGAACUCCGAAUGUCGCUUAUUAAGGCUACACAAAAAGCGAAGCAGCAUUUAUCGUCGGCUCGGUACUAUCAACGCUACCGGGAACAACUACUAGAGAAACGGAAAGCGAGUUGGAAGAGCAAAAAGUUUAGUUCCGAGUAGUUGCUAGUCGACUCUGUUUGGAGGUAAAAUUUUGAAAACGGAAUCUUGUGGCAAUAAAAUAUACAAUCGACCGUAAUUUAACAGUAUUCUAGUACUUCAUUGAAAAAAUUGCCGUCAAAACAUUUGUUAUCAAGUAUCUUUUUCAAAUACUAAAAGGUCCAAUGUCCCAUGUCGCUUCGACUAAAUCAACAGGUAUAUAUGUAAAAUUUACAGAACAUUGUAAUUAUUCCAUUACCAUGUCUCCAGCAUCUUAAAUUUCUCGUUACACAUAUUACAUCAUAGUCUGAUUGUAUUGCGUAUCAGUUACUAUUAUUUAAUAAUUGAUUAUAAUUUUCAACAUUUUCUACCCGGCAUAGUACCAUCCAAACAUCACAUGGCCGCCAAGCUCGGCUAUACCCAGCGUGGGAAGACGCUGCUACUGUACAACGGAUUCGCCUACGUCAAGGACCGCGAGGCCAUCAAAAGCUGCCACUGGAAGUGCUCGCUGUACGGAAAGCUUAAGUGCCGUGCCAGGGCCGUCACCAAAACGGCGCUCGACGGCCAGUUGAUGAUGAAAAUCACCAAAUCGACCCAUAACCAUGGCCAAGAUGCGUACAAAUUUGAACUUUCCACAGUGAAUAAACCUUGAUUCGGAUGUUGAUCGGUCGCAUUUUUCUUCAAAAGUGUAGAAUAGAACCGUGAUCGCAGAACUAACCCUAUUUUCUGCACAUUCGUAGGUCUUCCUGGUGGGGCCUAUUUUGGGAAAACCGCUCAGGGCUGCCUCAUGCUGUGGUACGGAAACUACGGGUAUUUCCGGAGAAGCAGAAGCACAACACCACCAACUGGAAAUGUGCCUGCUACACCAAAUAUCACUGCAAGGCACGGGCUGUGACUAAGGAAAUCUGCGGAGAGUACUACUUCCGGAUAACCUGUGAUGAACAUACCCAUCCUCCAUAUUCUAGCGGCUAUUGGCGAGCCAAACGGAGAAACGAAGUAGCCCCGUUGACGUCGGUGGUGUACUGCAGUGGAAGGUGGUAGUGGCAAAACGGGGUACUAGAUUAUGAGUAUCGGAACAAUGAGUGUGAUAAUUAUCUGUACAUUUUAAUAAACAAUCAAGGACUGAAAGGUGCAAUUGUAUUCACUUAUAAAUAAGUUGAUCUAGUACUACAGCCUGAAACGCCAAAUGACUAAUAAUUUCCACACUUUCAGACGUUUCGUACAUACUGAACAAACGAGGAGCAACUCAGCUAUGCAUCAAUGGGUAUCCCUUUAUCCGUUCGAAAACAACCGAGGACUACCAGUAUUGGACCUGCAGAGAGUACAAAGCUCUACGUUGCACGGCUCGGGCCGUUUCGGGUCGUCGAGAACGGAGGGGCGAUCCUACCGUCAAGCUACGGGGCGUUCACAAUCAUGUCAUUUUGGAGCGUCGUGAUGCGGAACAAAGUGCCAAAGAUAUUUCGUUUACCCUUAAUAAACGAGGGGCAACUCAAUUAUGUGUCAACGGAUAUCCCUACAUCCGCUCCAAAACGACCGAGGAUUUCCAGUAUUGGUCCUGUAGCCAGUACAAAGUUUUACGCUGCCCAGCGCGAGCCAUUUCCAGCCGCAGAAGGCAGGGCAAUACGCCCACGAUCAAGCUUCGUGGCACCCACAGUCACGGGAUCAUUUUGGAGCGUCGCAAACCAGGCGAAAGUGCCAAAUUGCUGAAACUGAACGCCAUGGAACGCCGGGAGAUGGAAAUGUUGCCAGAAAAGCGGAAACGAUUGUCAUCGGGAGCACCACCUCCACCGGUGGAAUGUGUUUUGGGAGGCGAUAAUCCAUCCUCGUCGAAGUGAAUUCGAAUGGUUGAAUAGGACAGAUCGGUGAAGUACUAGAUUUGUAGUAAUGAGCUAAAUUUUAUUAUGAUAUUUCAUUCGUGAUUAGCAAACGCGGCAAAACUCAAUUAUGCGUCGAUGGUUAUUUGUACACUCGAGCAAAAACAACUGAAGAAUUACAAUUUUGGACGUGCAAUCAGGAUAGGGUACUUGGAUGUUCUGCACGCGCAACUACCGGUCAUGGUAAGAAAGGAGAUCGGCCGUCCAUCAAACUGCGUGGAUUUCACAACCACAAAAUUAUCCAGGAGCGUCGGAAAGCCGGUGAAUGUGCCAAGCUGCGAGAGCAGUGCGCCCGCGAACGGAACGAGGAAGUGUUGCCACGGAAGAGGAAACGGCUGCCUCCGCUACCGUUGAAGUGUGUUCUGGUCACGGACAGUAAGGAAAAGACCUCUGUCGUGAAUAAGGAAAGCCAUUGAAAACGUUUAUUUAUUAUGAUAUGUAGUAAAAUAAGAUUAUUCUGUGAAGAGGGGCAAGGUUGCCAGGAACGCAAUCUUAUAAUCAUCUGUUUUACUUUUCCCUCAACACCUCUAUAACUUAAUAUUAGUCUAAUUAAUUCAUGUUACAAUUCAAUGUUUUUAUUCAUUUUCCAUUAUGCGAUUUGGUUGCAGUUUUUGAUUUAUAUUCGUUUCAGUUGCCUCAUAGAAUUAGUUUUUUUUUUUGCAGUGUUCAGAGUUGACAGAAAAAAACUUAACUUUAAACUAUGGAAUUCAACAUUAAGAAAAUACGUAUGUUUUUUCACAGAUGCUGUAGUCCAGUACAUCAAUGGCAAAAAGGAAACAUUUCCUCGGUUGAAAAUCGGCGGACAUUAUUUUACGAGGAGGCGUAUCUGCAAGACCAGCACCCGGUGGUAUUGUGUUAAGGAACCGGCCCUGAAAUGUAACGUACGCAUCACAACCGAUUCGUUCGGAACGAUAAUACGGAUAAACAAUAUUCACAAUCAUCCACCAGUAGUGGUUGAUACAUUCAAAGGGCGACUGCUGACCACACCUUUCGCAGAAAAAUCUAUUCAGAAGUACGAGAUGAAUCUUAGAAACUGAUGCCGCGCUGCCGUUUCUUUACAAGGGCAAAUAUACGAAUUGCUACUGAACCUACAGGUCAUGCGACUUCUUUGUUUCCUCAGUGAUAAUAGGAGCAGUGAACUGAGUCAUAGGUGAAGUUUGAAUUGAAAUAGAUCUCAUUACCAGCGACCACCCAAAAAUCCACUGGAAUCCGUCGAGUUCUACAAAAUACAAAUCGCCAGAUUUUUUCUAAUAAAUAAUUUCGAUUACUUUUAAGAAACGUCUGGUUUUAAAACAAUAGUAACAUACAUUACAUAUUUGAUUUGUAAUAAUAAGCAAUCUCAUCAAUCUACUAAAUUAUCAAAAAGAAAGAUUCCGAUGAAACUUAUGAGUUAACGUUAUCUAAGAUUAAUUUUGGACCCCCUAAAUUAUUAUAAAAUUAUAAAAGAUGACACGCCAGUGUUACCAGAAAAACUCCAGAAGGUUUCCAAAUGACAACCAUCAGUAACACAGAAGCAAUAUCUCACAAAUGAAAUAACUCUUAUUUUACAGAUAAUACAGUCAACGCCAUGCGAUACAUUUGUACCGAUAAGGGAGUCCACAAAUUGGAAUACGAGGGAUACCACUUCUGCAAACGAAGAACAAAGAAGCACUGCAUCCGUUGGUAUUGCACUAUGUGGCGAAGGAUGAACUGUACGGCACGGGUUACAACAAUCACUUCUAAUGGAGCAGUAUCGCAGUUUUGUGAUGAUCACAACCAUCCACCGACGGCGGAGUGUGUUAAAAUAAGCCACAAGCGCAAGCGCAAAUCUUAGUACAUCUAUCACGAUUGUUAUCUGAUUUACCAUAUGCUCGAAACAGGAUCCUUAAAUCAAAAAUUACCAGUUGAAGGUUCUUGAAUGUGAUAGGUAUUAGCUGUAUUGACGCCAUGUUUUUUUUUUAUUUAUAUAAGGUCUCCAAUAACCAUAAAGAAUUAGAUUUAAAUACUACUUUACAACCUUGAUAAAAGUAGAAAUGAUGCAAAAAUCUUGUCUGAAAGAAAAAUAUUAAGUAUCAAAUAUUAAGUAUUAUACAAUUGCUACAAUUAAUUCUUAAUGAUUUUUUUUUAUGUUCGUUGAAACCACCUCAUUCUGUAUUUUGAUUUUUGUCGUUAUAUUUCAGUACUCGAAAAUAAACAAAAAAAUAAAUUUGGCAGCUCUGAAAAUAUACUGCCAGCAAAAUGUCAUGGUUUAACAUUAGAAAAUUUGCUAAUUUUGUUCCAUAUUUCUCAACACAAAAUUUAGAUUUUUUAGGUGUCGUUAUGAAUGAAUUUUAUCGCUGAAAAAUUAUUUUCAGGGCUGCCAGAAUUUUUUAUUUUUGUACAAAAGUGGCAUGAAACAAUAUGUAACUGUCGUAUUUUAUUACUAUAUUUGAUCGUACAUUGGUUUUAUUUAUCUAACGCUCCCAACGUAUUUUUAGACAUUUCAUUCGUCAUGAGCUGCCGGGGAAAAACUCAACUUAGCGUAAACGGUCACCUCUACACUUGUGACAAGACAACAGAUGACGCCAUGUACUGGUGUUGCAAUCAGCGCCGUGUUCUUGGCUGCACAGCUCGUGCUAAUACUGGACGUAGGAAGCAGGGAGAACCGCCAACUAUUAAACUGCGCGGCUUUCACAAUCAUGGAAUCAUUGCAGAACGCCGUCGACCCGGGGAAUAUGCCAGACUAAAGGAACAGUACGAUCGCGAACGGAAAGUGUUGCCAGAUGUAGAGCCUCGUCGCCCUGCCCUUUUCAGAACGAAAAAGAAGCAAAACUGAAUCAAUUUUCUGUACACUAUCUUGAUGUUCUAGUACUACAGUUGUGACUGUGACUAUGUUUCAAGAUGCCCAGGUCAUUAAUACAUGUACACUGACUAAUUUAUGAUCUUUUUUGUUGUGAUGCGCGCCUUAUAUCAACCAAACCAAAACAUUAUCUAAUGAGGUAUCAUAAACUUUGCAGAUAUUUCAUUCGUCAUAAGUGCACGUGGUAAAACUCAGCUGAACGUUGACGGAUAUCUCUACACGCGUGGCAAACUACACGGUGACUUUCAGUAUUGGUCAUGCAAUCAAUACAGGGUUUUAAGUUGCACAGCUCGUGCUUCGACGGUCCGCUGCAAACAGGGCGAGAAACCAAUUAUAAAACUUCGCGGUUUCCACAACCAUCCGAUUAUAGUGGAACGACGUCGGCCCGGAGAGUGCGCAAGGUUGAAAGAACUGUACGCUCCUGCUUCGAGGCAAGUGUUGCCAGACAAGAAGAAAAGUCAGCAGCCCCGCAAGCAGCAAGUGCCACUGCCGCCGAUCGAGCAGUGUUUUGUGAAGGAAGAGAAAUAACGACCGCUUUGUCGGGUGUGCAAAUGGAGGCUGUAAUAGGAUUGGUGAAAUGCUUGAUCUAGUACUGCAUGUGAAGCAGUCUAACAUUGGGCAUAACAUUUCAAUAAUUUUUACUGAAUCACAAACUAUCAUUCACGAAAGUUCUCAGAAUUCCACGGUUUGUUAUUUUGUAGCAGUUAAAAACAAGAUUCCACGAUUAAGCUUUGAAAUUCUCCAAUUGGAGCUUCAUUUAUCCUAGAGAACAAGACUUCGGAAUGCAGUAACAGGCAAAACACCCUUCUAUUGUUUAUUAAGUGUUAAAAGAACAUUCAGUUAAUGAGAGGCUGGUCAAGUGCUACUGGGGACGUAGAGCCCGCAAAAAAGUUUUGAAAUAAAACAGCAAAACAAUUGUAACGAUACAUGAAGUUGAUAUGUUUGUGAAGAGCAUGUAAUAUAGUCUAUGGAAAUAGAGCCACCAACCCACAGAAGUCUGCCGAACAAUAAUUCACCAUAAUAUCCCUUCUUCAAUGACAGUUGUUCUAGUCUGCAGCCAAUGUCUCUUUAGGCGUUAGACCAAUAUUUAGAGAAUGAUCUUCAACUUCUCCAAAACCCCCUUCCAAUUUUAGAAACCAAGGCACAUCGAGCAACGCAACUCAAGACCACCUUGCGUCAACUGAAACGGGAUGAGAAUCGCCGACGAUCGCCAACUCGUUCGGAAAGGAUCCGCCAGGUGCAGCGGCUGAUCCGACAGCUGGAUAGUCAAUUCCGCCAGAUGUCCGAUCAAGACUUGAAAAAACCCGUAAGAGUUAACGGUUUCACGUUUCCCCUGUCCUGCGAGGAGGGCAUCGAGCGACUUGAACUGAUGGUACAGCGGAAUCCGAGCAUUCGCAAUCAGUUUUUAUAAAACUUCGCGGUUUCCACAACCAUCCGAUUAUAGUGGAACGACGUCGGCCCGGAGAGUGCGCACGGUUGAAAGAGCUGUACGCUCCUGCAGCGAGGCAAGUGUUGCCAGACAGGAUGAAAUAUCAGCAGCUCCCCAAGCAGCAGGUGCCACUGCCGCCGAUCGAGCAGUGUUUUGUGAAAGAAGAGAAAUAACGAACGCGUUGUUGCGGAUAAGAAUGUAGGAGGCUGUAGUAGGAUUAGUGUAAUGCUUGCUCUAGUACUGCAGUCUGGCAUUGUGUAUAACAGCUGAAUAAUUCUCAAAGAUUUACCUUUUCUUCCAAGUUCAAAAGACAUGGCCUGCUAGGUCUUACUCUACCAUUAUUGAUGUUUGAUUAAAAAAAAAAAUACAUUAAAUAUUGUUUGUUGAUUUUGGUCCAGUACAUCAUUUCAAUUGUGGAAGUAUUAUCUCUGAUUGAUUGGAAGCCGAAACUGUCUUUCCAAGCAAACAUCGUACUGUGUAUUGCAUUUUUUGACAUACAGCUUUUCCAUUGUACUUCCAUUUUUAUUUAUUUAGAUACUCCAUUCCGGUCUACGACAAUGCCUAUCGUGGGACAAUGGUACGAAACCGUUUUGACGUUUACCACCAGUGUCUUCGGGAACCAAAUACUUGAUCUCCAAGGAUACAGACUGUAUAAGAAGUAAACGUCCAGCCACCUAACUUGGUGGUGUUGUAUUAACAAAAACUGCAGAGCACGUGCCGCUACUAUCAAUGAAAGGUAUAUCAAAUUUGGAGAACUGUACCACAACCAUCCGAUAGGGAAGAUAUCGAAUUCGUUUAUUCCUCUGUUUCCUGUCGAUUUGUCUUGUCUACCGAGUCCGAAAGAGAUUACCAGGAAGACGAAAAAGUAUUCAAAACUUGGUUAGGAUUUUGGCGGAUCAAAUAAUCACCAUCCAUGAAUUGGAAGACUGAGUAUUACUGAGUAAGGCCAUGUUAGUCAAUGACGAGAUGACGGAAAACACAUCAAAAUGAAAAUUUUUAGCCGUUUACUCAUCAUUGCCAACCUUGAUUUGAUUGAUAUUUGUGUAUACUCUAGUACCUCAUUUUAGUACAGAAUCUCAACAUCUACCUGGAUUUUUUUAAAAGGGUCACUCUGGAGAAUAUACGCUAGACGUUAUUUAAGUCUUGAGGAAAGACGUACUAGACUGUUAUUCUAUUCAUAGUUUAAACUUCCAGUGCAAGUGAAAAUCAAAAGUAAAUUUUGAAUAAAAUCAGGCAAGAUAAGAAUAUUUGCCAUUAAGUCAUUCAUAUUGUUUUAAAUUGUUUCUAUUUUUCCUCACAUGUCGAUAAUAAAUGUUGAUAAUGCCCAUCGUAGGCCAGUAUUACGAAUUCAUUCUUCUUAUAUUUACGACGCGUUGUCGAGGCGAGCUGUGUCAGGCAAGAACUGUCGAACGAACAACUAGUGGUACUGCUCAAACAAAACCUAUCCGGCCUUAAAGCAUUUAAGUUUAAGAAUCCUGGUAUAAAAGAUACCAAAUAUGCUGUGAUAAUCGACUAUUCAUAUACCUGUGUUCAACUUAGAAUUUCUUUCUCCGUAGGAACCUCAUAACCGAAUGCAGUAUAUUUCAUGAGCUUCCUUUUCAGCCAAACGGAUACGCCGUUCCGACGGUCAAAAUCAUAGAACAUGAAGAAAUUGAAGCUCUUCUGACUCCACCAUAUAUUUAUAUCUAAACGGAUCGAACCAAGUGCAUUGCCGGAUUGAACGAGUGGUGUCAAUCUUUGAUAUUUUUAAUUGGAGAUCUGGCAUCGAAUUGGUUUCAGAAGUAGCACCAUUAACCUCCGCUGCCGUUUCCAUGCGCUAAACAUUAUGUCGAAACUAGUGCGCACUACUUCUGACAUCUUCUGUGGUAAUGUUCUACACAUAGAAACGGCAGUGGAACUCAAUUAUGCUAUUUCAGUAUCAAAUUCACAAUAGCUUUUUCAUACCGUAAAAUAGUAAGUAAUUUUAGUAUAAGCCACAUGGAUUGCCAUCGGUAUCCACGCCGCUGAAAAAGAGCAACCCACAACAAGAACCCAAAAAUCAGAUCCACCGAAAGUUGCGCUCGGAAAUCUGUCUUGAAAUAUAACAAUGGAGACUUAUUUGCGAAGCGUACAAGGUGGUCAAAUAGAGUUAAGAAACUAUAGAGGACGAAUGUCGCUGCUGUUUCCUUUGUUCUCGUUCGCAAACAUGUCGGGUAUCUAUCUGUCAAACUGCAUACUUUUUCGCUUUGACACUUAUAUCCCGGCCUAUCUCCACCAGCAAGAGAUGUUGCGGCAGCGACGCCAGCGACAUUCUUCCUCUAUAGUUUAUUAACUCUAUUGGUGGUCAAGGUAGGAUUGCAUUUCCAUCACUCAUCUGGUUAUAGACUGAUUCGGCAGAUGGACGCGUGAGUAACUAGCCCGUUGAAACACAGAACUGAAAUGUGUUCUUCCAAUAUUGUAAUUUUGCGCGUUUUGUGGUACAAACAUGAAUAGAAUAUGUUUUCAAAACGUCCUAUCCGCUAUUCAAAACAAAAAACAUCUUUUAUCAUGAUAAAACUUAGUGCAUAAUAUGUACUUCAUAAUUUUAAUUCAUCAAUCCGCACUUUAAAAUUUAAAUAAUCCUUAUUGUCAGUAUUAUUUUUGUACACGCAAAUCCAAACGUGAUGUUUUGAAAUGUUAUUCUUGAUUUUAGUCCUCCGCGCACGCCGAUCGUGUUGUUUAUCACUGUUUUGUUUUGUUUACGUUUCAGCACAUUGGGUGCAAUCCAGCAUCGUAUCACGACGAAAAAGGGAACAGGAUGAAAUCAGACUCGGACGCAUAGCCGAAGGAUGUUUGUCCGACCGGAUUCACAACUACCACUACAUUAUCUCUGUCGUACGCCCAAUACCUGGACAAAACGCGCAGCCAUCAGCACGUUCAGCUCAGCCGUUAGUCGAUAUCAACACAUCAGUGAUAGCAUACCGGGAGACGAGGAACUGGUUCCGACACCAUCACGACGAGUUCGAUAACGUCCAGAAACGGUGGGAAGCAACUACAGUGCCAUUUGUUUACACAUUAUCACCAAAUUGGAACGAGGGGCCGAGUUAUCAGCACUUACGGGAUGAAUACCUGUUGCUCCAAAACACGGCCGGCUAUCAGCUCGUAAAUAUUGACAUCAGCUGCUAGUAUCCAAGAAAAAGAGAUCUUCCUUUCGCACAAUUCACUGGGUUUCGCACUCGCGCUAAGGUAGUGUGCCGUAAUGAGGUACCAGAACUGGAAAAAUCCUGUUGGCAUUGCUGAACGCAGAAAUAAUUGAAGACAUAUAAACCUCAUUCCAGUCUGCGACAGCGCGACAGUGGUACGAAACCGUUUUGACAUUUGCCACGAGUGCCAAAGGCAAUAAAGUACUAGAUCUACACGGAUACAGGCUCUGUAAGAAAAAAAACAACCAAACACCUUACUUGGUGGUCUUGUAUACGCAAGAAGUGCAAGGCACGUUCCGCUACAAUCGGUGAGAGGUACAUAAAAUUUGGCGAGCUGUACCACGACCUAUGGGAUGAGUUCCAAGUCGUGGAUUUCGGAGAUUGCCAGGGUGACGAAAAAGCCUUCGAAACAUCGUUAGGCCGACCAUCUGUUAAAUUGUCCCAAUCAAGUUCUAGUACACUAUUUUGAUAUCAUGUCGUAUCCACCAAUGGAAAGAUAGUGGACAAUUCAUCGAAAAUAGAUUAUGUACCGUUUAGUUUAUCGUUAUUGAAUAAAAAAUAUGUUUUCAUAAUCCAGUACCUCAUUUCUACAACUUAUCUGGUAUAUCUAACCGAAUCUUAAUAUCUGCCUGGUGCUUUCAUCUUUGUGAGCCUUGCAUUGUCUGAAGAAAUAAAAUAUUGUUUUAUUAUCUACUUACUAUACAUCUUAAUAACUUUCUGAUUCCUUCAUAAUAAGGUCCCGAGGAUUGUGUAGUACACGUUUGACUGAUCAUCCAUGCGUAUUUGACUAACUCAGAAUGUCUUCCCUUCCUCCAUAGGAACCCUUGAGAGUGACCCUCGAGCUUCGCAUAUCCCUGGCUAUUGUACGAAAUCUUCCGCCAUCUUUGUCCACAGGCCGGUUGAUCAAAACCCGGAACACAUCAAGGUGCAUCGUGCACCUUCCACCUCCGGUGCGAUCAAAUUCGUUCGCAGUAAGAGAAAGAAUUCCCAACUGGUGUACAAAGGUUUCCUGUACUACCGAAAGAUGACCCAGGAAAAUGGCAAUACCACGUGGCAGUGUAUCGAUGGUAAAAAGUUAUGCUGCAAAGCGAUAUGCGUUACCAAGUUCAACAAAUUGAUACGCGUCAAACGGCAGCAUGCUCAUGAGAACCAUGAGAGUAAGAUAAGGAAUCGGCCGCUGAUCAACUACCCGACCCGGAAGAUUUAGAAGAAUAUCUGGACAUCUACUCAAGGGAUCCCAUUUCGGCGUCACAGAAGCUGGACGUCAUCGACGAUGGAACCGAUUACAAGCUGGUCGUUCGGGAUACCAUCGAGGAAGUCGUGCAUGGAGCACCUGGGAGUCACAUAGGAGACAUGAUGGCGAGUGGGACGGAUACGUUCUAUGCGACACCUCAGUAACACAUUCUAGUACUACAAUUGAAACUAAAUCGUAAUAAUAAAGCUUGUACAAAGUCUGCGUGUAGAUGAAAUUUUUCUGAAAAAUGAGCUAUCAUCUUCGACGAAGAUGAUCUUCAAAGAUGACGAAUGCGUAGGUUCGUCGGAUCGAGUGUACACAUUCCUCACCAGUCGUAAGGGAGGCAUCCAUUUGGUUCACGACAGGUAUAUCUAUCGAUCGAACCUACGGCGAUGCGGCCGUAACAAAGACAUCAUCUACUGGGAAUGUGUGCACAACCGAGCGGAAAAAUGUCGCGGGCGACUGAAAAGCGUGGGCGAUCAACUGUACAUUUCAAACUGGAAUAUACAACACAAUCAUGAACCGGACACAAUAAAGAUAGCAACGGCCAUGGCUUCCGAGCACAUCUCUUACAGAACGUUAUCAUCACUCGGAACCUUAUAUUCCACAAUUACGAUAUGUGAUUCGGUUUAAAAAAAAAACAAUAAAAUAUGUUUUCUUUUAAAAUUGUUAUCACCUCAUUUUACUUAAUUUUAUUUCAACUAUUCAAAAACAAAGUUACAAUCGAUGAAUGUAUUUUUUUCUUCUAGAUUUCAAAAUUGAGUGUGAGGCGGUACAGUUCGUCCGAAGUAGGAAGGGCAAACCCCUAUUGUUGUACAAAGGCCAUCAGUACACGUUGAACCGUCGACGGAAACAGCUGGGCUACUGGGAGUGCGUUCACAGGCGUUCGAAGCUGAAAAGUUGUCCCUCUCGGAUAACGACGGACAACGUUCAGAUUAAGCGUGUCAAGGGCGAACACGACCACAUGCCUCCGGAGAUGAUAGAAUAUCUAUUGGAUGACUGCAAUGCAUUCCUGAAAGUAGCGCCACCAGAAUAAAAGUUGCAUUUUUGAAAUGUUCGUUUCUCUGUUUGAUUUAGUUAAAUUAAAUAAAUCUCAGUGUGUGCUACCAGA